rnacentral:rRNA from 1 species
UACGUAGGGGGCAAGCGUUGUCCGGAAUCAUUGGGCGUAAAGCGCGUGUAGGCGGCUCGAUAAGUCUGCUGUGAAAGUUCAGGGCUCAACCCUGAAAUGCCGGUGGAAACUGUCGAGCUAGAGUCCGGAAGAGGCGAGUGGAGUUCCUGGUGUAGCGGUGAAAUGCGCAGAUAUCAGGAGGAACACCAAUGGCGAAGGCAGCUCGCUGGGACGGUACUGACGCUGAGACGCGAAAGCGUGGGGAGCAAACAGG